rnacentral:misc_RNA from 1 species
GGUACUUAUAUGGCGCGGUUUCACUCUGAGAGAAUUUGCAAGCCAGUGCUUCGGAAACAAAUAUGAUUAUUGUAAAGGAAGGCAGAUGCCUGUCCAUUAUGGGUCUAAGAGACACAAUUACUUCACUGUAGCAUCAACAAUCGCUUCUCAAAUUCCCCAUGCCGUUGGUGCUGCAUAUUCAAUGAAGAUGGAUAAGAGAGAUGCUUGUGCAGUCACUUAUUUUGGUGAUGGAGGAACAAGUGAGGGAGAUUUCCACGCAGCUUUAAAUUUUGCAGCAGUUUUGGAGGCGCCUGUUCUUUUUAUUUGCCGGAACAAUGGAUGGGCGAUCAGUACUCCUAUUUCAGACCAGUUUCGAAGUGAUGGGGUGGUUGUAAAAGGUCGUGCUUAUGGAGUUCGCAGCAUCCGUGUAGAUGGCAAUGAUGCACUUGCAGUAUAUAAUGCAGUUCGAGCUGCUCGAAAAAUGGCAAUUCAAGAACAUAGGCCAAUUUUAAUCGAGGCUCUCACAUACAGAGCUGGACACCACACGACAUCAGACGAUUCAACCAGGUAUCGUCCAGCGGAGGAAAUGGAAUGGUGGAGGGUUGCAAAGGACCCUGUCUCUAGAUUUAGGAAAUGGAUUGAAAGCAAUGGUUGGUGGAAUAAUGAGGCUGAAGCAGAGCUUAGAAGUAGCUUAAGAAAACAGCUUUUAGAGGAAAUUCAGUUGGCAGAGAGGUCUGAGAAGCCCCCUGUGGCAGAUGCUUUCACAGAUGUGUAUGAUGUUCCUCCAUCCAAUCUCCAAGAGCAAGAGAAAUGGUUAAGAAAAACAAUCAAAACACACCCACAAGAUUACCCAUCUAAUUUUCCACUGUAAUCAUCUGUCA